rnacentral:rRNA from 1 species
CCAAUAGCGUAUAUUAAAGUUGUUGCAGUUAAAAAGCUCGUAGUUGAAUUUCGGGAUUAAUAUGCUGGUCGUGCCAUUGGUACGUACUAGUAUUAUUGAUUUCUCCCUUCUGAUGAAUCAUGAUAUCAUUAAUUUGAUGUCAUGGGGAAUCAGGACUGUUACUUUGAAAAAAUUAGAGUGUUUAAAGCAGGCUCGCGCUU